AGAGUUUGAUCCUGGCUCAGAUUGAACGCUGGCGGCAUGCCUAACACAUGCAAGUCGAACGGUAACAGGCCGCAUGGGAUCCCUUCGGGGUGACCUUGGCGCUGACGAGUGGCGGACGGGUGAGUAAUACUUAGGAAUCUGCCCAAUAGUGGGGGACAACUCGAGGAAACUCGAGCUAAUACCGCAUACGCCCUACGGGGGAAAGCGGGGGAUCUUCGGACCUCGCGCUAUUGGAUGAGCCUAAGUCGGAUUAGCUUGUUGGUAGGGUAAAGGCCUACCAAGGCGACGAUCCGUAGCUGGUCUGAGAGGACGAUCAGCCACACUGGGACUGAGACACGGCCCAGACUCCUACGGGAGGCAGCAGUGGGGAAUAUUGGACAAUGGGCGCAAGCCUGAUCCAGCAAUGCCGCGUGUGUGAAGAAGGCCUGCGGGUUGUAAAGCACUUUCAAUAGAGAAGAAAAGCUUACGGUUAAUACCUGUGAGUCUUGACGUAACCUACAGAAGAAGCACCGCUAACU
rnacentral:rRNA from 1 species